rnacentral:lncRNA from 12 species
CCAAGAAACCAGUUCCUGCCCCACCUCCUCGGGCCUUGCUGGACCUCCUGUGCACCAGACAUCUUCAGACUCCAGUCUAGCCACUGGGAACACAUCAUAAGGGGUGAAGAAUGGGGUGGGGUGGGGAAGACCAUUACCAUCUCACUCCAGCACCUGACCUUUGUCUAUGACACCCCUCUGGGGGUGGGGGCAGGUCACAGAGGCUGAGUAGGGCACAGGGGUGGGGGGCAGAGGGGGGAGUGUUGACCCUCUACCCUCUCCCUCCCUCCCAUCCUCCCCUCCUUUUUGCUUUCCUUCUUUGUACUUACUUUUAAAAGUCUAAUUAGGUGAGAGUAAAAUAAAUGAAUUUCGAGGCUUUCCCUGACUUUGCAAUUAAAGUUUGCAAAUUAAAUAUUUCAAAGACUGUUCCGUUGCUCUUCCUCCUCCUCCUCUUCUGCCUUCAGAACUUUUCCAGCAAGUUAGACCUCUGACCCCUGGCUGGUGAUGGGAUCCUUGGACUUGAACCGCAAGGCAGAUGCUUUAUCUCAUCCUUUGAUUGCCAACAUAACUUUCCGUUGAUUUUAUAGAAACAGAAGUUUUAUUGGAACAGGGAACAAGUUAUGGCUUCCCACCGCACUUCAGAAACAACCUCGCUUUGAUUAGUCAUUCAGCUCCCAUAGAUUUACUAUUGGCAAAAGGACACUUUAAUUAUAAAGAAAGAAAAUAGAAAAACUGUCUUUUCUGCAACGUUUCUUUCUGGAACCAGUGAAACCCCAGGUAGAACUCUGGGAGUUAAAUGAGAACAGCACAGCAGUCUUUCAUCCUUUUGCAGAUUUAAAAGACAAGGGAAUUAAAAGUGCACUUAUUAGAGGAAAGCUGAACACCUGUUUUCUCCUUUUUUUUUUUUUUUUUUUUUUUUUUUGUGCUCAAACAGGAGAUCUGGGGUUCCCUCUGCUGGCAGACUUCCCGGAGACCUUCCAGCCCAGGAUCACUCCUAUGGUGGAUGUGAUGGGUGGACGAUGUACUGGAUGGGAAGCUAUCCAAGUCCGACACACCUGUUGGAAGGGCUCUGCACUCCCUGAGGUGAGGGAUGAGCUAAGACAAAGGCACGUGAUGGGGGAGGGGGUGAUUCAAAAGAACUUGAGAAAGUAGAACUGCCCAUAUUAGGAGGGAAAUGGAAAGGAGAAGCUCAUGAUCAGAUCCAGGUUUCUGACUUGAACAGAAUAUAUUUUCACUGGUGGGGACAGAGGUGGACAAAGGUGGACAGUUGGGGUGGGUGCAGUCUGGGGAAGAGAGAGACUCUGACAGCCAUGCAUGGAAUUGGGGCCAGGGAUGGCAAAGAGGGGCGUACCUUCUGACAGCUCCAACCCUUCACCACUGGAACUUAUGGCAGGUAUUAUUAAGCAAUGUGCCACUCUUUCCCACUGAGCUUGAACCCAGCUCAGAAUACUUUGCAAUAUAAUGGCCCCUGGAAGUCAUUUUCAGUUAAUUAAAUUUAGUUCUGAAGAUGAGAGCUGUUUGCUUCCUCUUACAGACCUAGAGGUUUAGGAGCGCAGUUGACUGGUGAGAGCGCCAUGGUCCUCACUGAGUGCCAGCCUAGCAAAAUCAUUCCCACCUCGAGACUCCAAGACUCCGUCUUUUCUCUACACCUCUGAGGGCUCCGGGCCACAAGCCUCAGCACCCCCGAUCUAAAGGUGAGCACUGCACCUCCUGACCUGGGCUUUCCCCCAUCCACGGUCACCAAGCAGCACCAAGCUUCCCCUAACCAAAGCAAAGUGUGUGUCCCUUAGCCCACCCUCUCCCACUCCUUACAAAACUGUGUGGCCAGCAGCCCUGCCCCCUGAAACCCAGAGCCUGAAUCUUGGGAGCCUGAGUGACAAGCACUGCCCACGAAGGGAGACAAUAGCAGUAUUGACCCGCUGGCGGGAGGCAGGCCUGUCCUCAUGUUCCGAGGACAGCUUGCAGACAGGCUUUUCCUCUCACACAAUUGCUGCCUGUUUCCCAUGUUUCACAAGACGAGGGGUGCACAUUCCAGACAAGGGGACUAUUUAUUUUCCCACCGAAGGUGACACGUGGCAUCCAAAGGUCAAGCCCAGGCUGGGGCCAUGUUUGCUGGACUAAGCCCUGCCUUUUCCCAGGGGUCCUGAUUGUU